UUCUAUCUUUAGUAACUAAACGCAUAUGUAGAUGUAUAUGUAAUAGUAAUAGAUAUAUAGAGUAAUGAUGCAGUUUAGUUAAGUCCAUACUGCAUAUUUGGCAUAACAACUUUUCACACUUUACUUUUACCUGGGAUUUGAUAAUUGUUGUUGUUGUUGUUUGUGUUGGUGUUGGUGGCGAGAUAAAUCGUUGAUGUCAAGCAUUUGAGCGGAUCGUUUAUCAAUAUCAAACAUGUCUGAGUCUAAAACGUGGCUGUUAUUUAUUGUUGGUCUAAGUGUUAUUAUGAUGAUGAUAAUGAUCGCAGAUGGCUGUCAAAAAUUGGGAGCAACGUGUUACUGGCAUAUUGUUAAUCCACUGAAUUGUUGUGAAGGAACUAAAUGUCGUAUAAAGAAUACAGGAUCACAAGGAAUAUGUGUUUUAUCAGAUUUUAAAUAAUUGACAUACAAAAAUAGUUUAAGGCAUGAUGGGCUAUUUCUAAAAUUUGUUAAUAUUUAAUAGUCGUCUUAAAGUAGUAAAUUCUAUGACAAGGGAUGAAACAAAAAGAUUUCACACCAGGGUGUAGUUGACUGCCCGAGCCGUAGGUGAAGAGUAACAUGACCUGCAGUUUGAAACCCCGUUUCAUCCUAAAUUACACACUAUAUUUUUCAUGAUUACCUGCAUUGGAAUUUAAAGUCUCAGUGUUAGCAGUCAGUCAGAAACAAGUCACCCUGUUUAGAAAAUCUCAUAGAAUCUAAUGAAUUCUCAUAAAUUCCCCUAGAGAUUUUAUGAGAAUGAAUGAGUUCUAUGAGAAGUGUUAUAGUUAAGUAUAAGGCCUUAUACAUACAGCUAUAAGAAUCUAUUGGAUUUUUUAAGCAGGACAAUGUAAGAUCAAUAGCGUGAUCAACUAUUAGCGUACGCGUAAAUUGAGAUUUGAAAUUUAUAAUUAAACAGAAACUAUAACUACUAUUGUUUCUUCCCAAAGGACAAAAUACAUUUGUUUCUGCCCGCUUUGGACUGGAAUUUGGUUGUUUCGACUGGCUGUAGAUUACUAACUCUUGAACUUUCGCUGGUAUCAUGAAAAUAUAUAUUUUACUCAACUAUCUUGUCCACUGCUUUAAAAAUUCUAUUAUAAAAGAAGCUUUUUAUUGGAAAAAUAAUAAGAAAACAUUUACUUUAUUUUUUUUUUUGGCAAUUGCUACGAUUGGGCAACGUGCCAGUUUCAAGAAUAUAUUAAUAAAUCCGGUAGUCGUUAAAAAUCACUUUUCGAUUUCUAACAUCUAAUUCAAUAGGCUUAUAGUUUUCAAAUAAAUUUUAGUCAAUAUAUCUGUCACCUUCGUCUAUUGUGAUAAAUAUUAAAUUAAGCCGAAUUUAGCAUUUCAUUGUUCGAAAUACCCAUAAAAUAGUAGCGCAUAAAAAGUAACGUAAGAAAAUAAUUAUAUUUUUUAUUUAUAAGUAUGCCGAUUAUAAAAUCUCCUUUUAUAGGCAAAAAGUAUCUUGAGGUAACAUUUCAAUCCCGAUUCCAAAUUUUCUCAUUAGUCAAGGGUCAGACGUAUUCUACCUUACGUUGCUUUUUAAUUUACACUCGAAUUCGAUUAACUCGAACAGUUAGUCUACGGUGGGAGACAACGUAGCUCGUAGUGGAAGUCAAGAUUGAGGGGAAGUUCCAAGUUAAUGGAAUUCGACUGUAAUUAAACCGGAAGUUUACUUUUGUAUACCAAAUAUCAAAACUGUCAGCUGUUUCCUUUUCCGCUUUUCAUCUUACGGCGAUCAUGAAUAUUAUACAGCAUAAUUACAAUAUUUACUUUACAAAAUACCAUAUUAUGAUUGUAUGCAAUUAUUUUAAAUGCUACUAAAAUUCAAUCCUUAAUGGCCCAUCUUGCCUCACUUCAACAUAUAUAAUGUAGUUAUCAAUAAUAAAAAAAAUAAAAUGGUGGAAAAUCCAAAAAUACACACCUCAAUCGCUCAUUUUAUUUUUAAUCAUUACUUUUAUUUUAUAAUAUUAAUUAAUUUUUUUUAUUAUGAAUUUUUAUUCAACUUAUAAAUUAUCAAUUUCAUUUUUUAUUUCUUAUUUUCAGUUUAAUAUUUUUUUAUUAACAUUUUUUUUAAAUAUCCCGCCUUUUGUCUUAGAUGUCGCUCUUUUUUUUCAAACCUAUACUGUUACGCCAGUGCUGCCGCCAAUAGUUGAUGGAGAGAAAAAAUUAAAAAAAAUAAUAACAACAGUAAAAAUAACAAUGGCAGCUAAAUUUUUCGUGAAUAAUCAGUUUUACGUUUUAAUUAACUGCAAUUAAACUAAAAGGAUUUAGAUAGUGAUUUUCCAUAGGGUUCUUGUGAAAAAAACUACAAAGAUAAUAAAAAAAAAGUUAGGCCGAUUAAUUGCGUCUAUCGAGAGUUGUCGUGUUUAAGAAGUUUCAUACGUAACAGUUGACAGCACUGGUUUCUUGAGUUAAAAUAAUUUAUUUUAAACUAAUUAAAUAACGAAUCGACUUAAAAUUAGGUUCAAAUUGUUCCUUAAUAAAUUCUCUAUAUGCUAGUAUACAAUUUGACCUGUUUUGGUGUAGUUAAAAGAGUGUAGAAAUAUUUUUGUGUGAGU